rnacentral:tRNA from 1 species
GCAGUGAUGGCCGAGUGGUUAAGGUGUCUGACUAGAAAUCAGAUGGGAUCUUCCCGCGUAGGUUCAAAUCCUACUCGCUGCG